rnacentral:rRNA from 1 species
GAUGAACGCUGGCGGCGUGCCUAACACAUGCAAGUCGAGCGAGAAGUAAAUAACAGAAGCCUUUGGGCGGAAGAUAUUUAUGGAAAGCGGCGGACGGGUGAGUAACGCGUGGGUAACCUGCCCUAUACAUGGGGAUAGCCACUAGAAAUGGUGAUUAAUACCUGGUAGACAUAAUAGAGGCAUCUUUAUUAUGAGAAAGAUUUAUUGGUAUAGGAUGGGCCCGCGUCUGAUUAGCUAGUUGGUGGGGUAAAAGCCUACCAAGGCAAUGAUCAGUAGCCGACCUAAGAGGGUGAACGGCCACACUGGAACUGAGAGACGGUCCAGACUCCUACGGGAGGCAGCAGUGGGGGAUAUUGCACAAUGGGGGAAACCCUGAUGCAGCAACGCCGCGUGAGUGAUGAAAUUUUUCGAAAUGUAAAACUCUGUCCUAUGGGAAGAAAAAAAUGACGGUACCAUAGGAGGAAGCACCGGCUAAAUACGUGCCAGCAGCCGCGGUAAUACGUAUGGUGCAAGCGUUAUCCGGAAUCUUUGGGCGUAAAGCGUGCGUAGGCGGCUAGGAAGGUCAGAGGUGAAAGGCAUGGGCUUAACCUGUGUAAGCCUUUGAAACCGACUAGCUUGAGUACAGGAGGGGAAAGUGGAAUUUCUAGUGUAGCGGUGAAAUGCGUAGAUAUUAGAAAGAACACCAGUGGCGAAGGCGACUUUCUGGACUGUAACUGACGCUAAGGCACGAAAGCGUGGGUAGCGAACAGG